rnacentral:rRNA from 1 species
AUUGAACGCUGGCGGCAGGCUUAACACAUGCAAGUCGAGCGGGGUGAUGGUGCUUGCACUAUCACUUAGCGGCGGACGGGUGAGUAAUGCUUAGGAAUCUGCCUAUUAGUGGGGGACAACAUCUCGAAAGGGAUGCUAAUACCGCAUACGUCCUACGGGAGAAAGCAGGGGAUCACUUGUGACCUUGCGCUAAUAGAUGAGCCUAAGUCGGAUUAGCUAGUUGGUGGGGUAAAGGCCUACCAAGGCGACGAUCUGUGGCGGGUCGGAGAGGAUGAUCGCACCCACUGGGACGGAGACACGGCCCGGCCUCCUACGGGGGGCAGCAGUGGGGAAUAUUGGACAAUGGGGGGAACCCUGAUCCAGCCAUGCCGCGUGUGUGAAGAAGGCCUUAUGGUUGUAAAGCACUUUAAGCGAGGAGGAGGCUCUUUUGGUUAAUACCCAAGAUGAGUGGACGUUACUCGCAGAAUAAGCACCGGCUAACUCUGUGCCAGCAGCCGCCGUAA